rfam:Pontibacillus marinus BH030004 = DSM 16465 strain BH030004 contig27, whole genome shotgun sequence.
UAACAAUGAAGUUCGGUUAAAACCGCUACUUCCUGUAGCAACACCGAACUACCCCACGUCGUGUGGG